rnacentral:rRNA from 1 species
UAGGGAAUCUUCGGCAAUGGACGAAAGUCUGACCGAGCAACGCCGCGUGAGUGAAGAAGGUUUUCGGAUCGUAAAACUCUGUUGUUAAAGAAGAACAAGGACGUUAGUAACUGAACGUCCCCUGACGGUAUCUAACCAGAAAGCCACGGCUAACUACGUGCCAGCAGCCGCGGUAAUACGUAGGUGGCAAGCGUUGUCCGGAUUUAUUGGGCGUAAAGCGAGCGCAGGCGGUUUCUUAAGUCUGAUGUGAAAGCCCCCGGCUCAACCGGGGAGGGUCAUUGGAAACUGGGAGACUUGAGUGCAGAAGAGGAGAGUGGAAUUCCAUGUGUAGCGGUGAAAUGCGUAGAUAUAUGGAGGAACACCAGUGGCGAAGGCGGCUCUCUGGUCUGUAACUGACGCUGAGGCUCGAAAGCGUGGGGAGCAAACAGG